AAUGCCGGAUGCUCCAGUUGAUCGCAUGGUCUUCUGGGAAAGCUUUCGCGGUAUGGGAUGGGGUCGCGUCCUAUCAGCUUGACGGCGGGGUAACGGCCCACCGUGGCUUCGACGGGUAGCCGGCCUGAGAGGGCGACCGGCCACAUUGGGACUGAGAUACGGCCCAGACUCCUACGGGAGGCAGCAGUGGGGAAUAUUGCACAAUGGGCGCAAGCCUGAUGCAGCGACGCCGCGUGAGGGAUGGAGGCCUUCGGGUUGUAAACCUCUUUUAUCGGGGAGCAAGCGAGAGUGAGUUUACCCGUUGAAUAAGCACCGGCUAACUACGUGCCAGCAGCCGCGGUAAUACGUAGGGUGCAAGCGUUAUCCGGAAUUAUUGGGCGUAAAGGGCUCGUAGGCGGUUCGUCGCGUCCGGUGUGAAAGUCCAUCGCUUAACGGUGGAUCCGCGCCGGGUACGGGCGGGCUUGAGUGCGGUAGGGGAGACUGGAAUUCCCGGUGUAACGGUGGAAUGUGUAGAUAUCGGA
rnacentral:rRNA from 1 species